UACAGAGGUGGCAAGCGUUGUUCGGAAUUACUGGGCGUAAAGGGUGCGUAGGUGGGCAGGUAAGUCAGUGGUGAAAUCUCCGGGCUUAACCCGGAAACUGCCAUUGAUACUAUCUGUCUUGAAUACCCUGGAGGUGAGCGGAAUAUGUCAUGUAGCGGUGAAAUGCUUAGAUAUGACAUAGAACACCCAUUGCGAAGGCAGCUCACUACGGGAAUAUUGACACUGAGGCACGAAAGCGUGGGGAUCAAACAGG
rnacentral:rRNA from 1 species